UAAUACGAAGGGGGCUAGCGUUAAUCGGAAUUACUGGGCGUAAAGCGCACGCAGGCGGUUUGUUAAGUCAGAUGUGAAAUCCCCGGGCUCAACCUGGGAACUGCAUUUGAAACUGGCAAGCUAGAGUCUCGUAGAGGGGGGGUAGAAUUCCAGGUGUAGCGGUGAAAUGCGUAGAGAUCUGGAGGAAUACCGGUGGCGAAGGCGGCCCCCUGGACGAAGACUGACGCUCAGGUGCGAAAGCGUGGGGAGCAAACAGGAUUAGAUACCCUGGUAGUCCACGCUGUAAACGAUGUCGAUUUGGAGGUUGUGCCCUUGAGGCGUGGCUUCCGGAGCUAACGCGUUAAAUCGACCGCCUGGGGAGUACGGCCGCAAGGUUA
rnacentral:rRNA from 1 species